CCUAGCACUACCUCUAACUUUAAACAAAACCUCCGCUAAUCAGUGCUGAUACCAGCAAACCGAUUUUCUAGUUAAAACAGUCGAGUGGUAUGUUACCAUCUACUGGCUGUUUUCAAUAUUACAGGAACAUUUUCUUGUAAUACUAAUACAAGCAUGCUCUCCCGGCCAAUUGCACCAUGAUCAGAGUCGGGCAAAUGACAAAGCCCAGUACGAUCACCAUUGACUUGCGGACAUGCAGGAAGACCCUGGGGGCCUUCUUUCAGUAGCCAGCAUCCCUAGAAUCACUGUGGCUGUGUGCGAUUGCUCAGCAAAAGUAAUUUAAAAUGAUUUCAAGGGCUUUCUUUCAGAGCUUAUUUUGAGUGCUGCAUACAGCUCAGUGGCUGGCUUUAACCCACCUCACACUGAAUUGCAGCAAUAGGCAGUUACAUGGUUAUGCUCACUUUGGUAGUGCUCACUUUAAGUGCUGCACACAGCACAUCUGCCAGUCUGGGGCCACUAAAAAUUAUUCCAGCUGACAGAGGGGAUUCUCUGGUGUAAGAGAUUUUAGGACGUUUCAUGCCAUUCUAACAGUGUUAAAACCCACACAGUUGCGGACGGCAUGGCAUGUCCUAACAUCAGGAAGAGGUUCAGUUACAUGACAGUGAUACUAUUUUAAGGGACUCCUUGGUGUAAGAGAUUUCAGGAUGUUUGAUGCCAUUCUAACAGUGUCAAAACCCACACAGUUGAGGACGGCAUGGAAUGUCCUAACAUUAGGAAAGGGUUAAGUUACAUGACAGUGAUACUUUUUCUUUAAGGUAACAAUUCUUCUUAUUAUUUUUUAGACCGAUUCUGUGGGUCUAUGUCCAUUAGAUAUAGAAGUCCAUUAGGUAAAUAAAUAAAUAAAAAAUGCAUCAUCUAAGAGACUGAUAAAGAGUAUACCUUGGAGUUUGUCUGUUCCUCAUUCUCUUCAUUAGUUACUG